AAGCAAAUUGUAUUUAAUAAUUUUUUUGUUAUCAUCUUUAAAGGCACAAACAAAAAUCAACUUCAACGCUAUCAAUAGGAUAAAUAUUUCGCUAACUUUCUCUUCUCAUUACUUAAUUUAUCUGGUUGACUUGCCAGUCUGACCAAGUAGCUGACCAGUUCAAAUCAGUCGUGUGUUUUUCUUUGUUCUUUCCGUUUCUUUUCCGCUUUCUUUCCUUUCGGGAAGUGCUUCUUCCGUGCAAGUUCACUAAAUCAACUAAUUGGCACCAGCUAUUAUUAUGCAUAAAACACAAAGGGUGGAUUUGCACAAAUUAAAAUAUUUCAUUCUACUAACUAAACGCAAUUUGCCCACCAGCUAAUGUGCAUAAUAAACUUAGAAGGGUGGCUAUUCGCUAACGCCUAAUAAUAAUAAUUAAAAGUAUAUUAAGUAUGAACGAGACCAAAAAGUACUUUAUUCAUUUAUUUAUUUCAUAAUUUAAGCAUUUUGUAUGCUACUUUACUUUGCUAAGGAUUUCAUAAGUACUUUUGCACACAAUUGACAGCUAUAGAAUCAUAUUGUAGUUAAACUGACUGCUAUAGUGCCCUAAAAGGAGGAUUUCAUUAAUAAAUAAAAUCCUGGAUUACCAAUUUAAACAACACUAACAGCCAUCUUCACCUAACCUCAGGUCCAAUUAAACUAUUAAACUAAGGCUUUGUUUGCCAUUGAAAUAUUAAACGAUUGUGGGCUUUGAAAUAGAAGCAACAAGUAAACAGAAAUGAAUGUUCGAUAAUCAUACCACUUGAGGGGUAAAUUAAACAAAGUAAUAUACAAAAUUUUCAUCAAAUAAUAAGAAUAAAAAUCAGUUUUCCAAACAUUUUAGCCGCUCCUUACAAAGUAUAACUAUUAAACACCCACCACCAAAAAUAUAGACACAAUUGCAAUACUGUUCUUUUCUGAUAAGAGAUAAGAUGAUAAUAAAAACAAUUAAAAUAUGAAGGCAAUUUUGAAGAAACAGAUUUAAAUGCAAUGAUUAUAACUAAGUUCAAAAUUUAAAAUUAAAUUAAAUAUCGAAAUCACAUCCGCAAAUUCUAAGUUGUAGAAGCAACCGAAUUGUGAUUUGUGCAGCAGAAGCACCCAACACAAAAUUAAAUGAUAAUCUCUUCUCCUUGUAUAUACGAAGAGUAAUGUCAUUACAAUUAACACCUACUAAUCACUUGUCUCUCUUUCAAGUAUCGGCACCAAAUUUAUAAUUAAUUACAACACUAUGAAUUUCGCAAAAUAAAAAAUAACAUAAAAAAAAAAUUAGAAAGAGAGUUUCGAGACUAAACGAUGACUAUAUCAGAACCAGAAAUAACCAACCAACUAAGACGGUCGGUUCGGCCGACGAACCGAUAGCUGAACGGGGAGGGGCCGACCGGUACCGGUUCCUCCACAGCUGCGACACGCCAUGCGGCCCGAGCCGGCGCAGGUCCGGCACCCAACAUCGCCGUCCGACCACCGC
rnacentral:lncRNA from 1 species